rnacentral:rRNA from 1 species
GAUGAACGCUGGCGGCGUGCCUAAUACAUGCUAGUCGAACGAGUUCUUCGGAACUAGUGGCGGACGGGUGAGUAACACGUUGGUACCUACCCCGAAGUGGGGAAUAACUGGCCGAAAGGUCGGCUAAUACCGCAUAAUACCGUAAGGUUAAAGCAGUAAUGCGCUUCGGGAGGGGCCUGCGUCUGAUUAGCUAGUUGGUAGUGUAAUGGACUACCAAGGCGACGAUCAGUAGCUGGAUCGAGAGGUUGACCAGCCACACUGGGACUGAGAUACGGCCCAGACUCUUACGGGAGGCAGCAGUAAGGAAUCUUCCACAAUGGACGAAAGUCUGAUGGAGCAACGCCGCGUGCAGGAUGACGGCCUUCGGGUUGUAAACUGCUUUUAUAUGGGAAGAUUAUGACGGUACCAUAUGAAUAAGGACCGGCUAACUACGUGCCAGCCGCCGCAGUAA